CAGGGAGGAGGGCAGGUCUGGGGAGGUGGAGGAGAGCCCCCUAGUGUCCAGGCUGAGACUGCAGCUAGCCCAGAGGGGGAGAGAGCUCCACACCAGAGAGGAAGAGCUACUGCUGCAGCACGACAUGGAGGUCAGCUCACUGAGACAGGAGAACUACCUCCUGCAGAGCAAGCUGCACAGUACAGAGGAGGCCAACAGCAGGAAGAAGGGCCGGUUGGGUCGCGGUCUGGACGGGCCCUUGGACCCCCUCACCGGAGGGCAAACCCAGACUGAUAGAGAAAGAGGUGAAGGAACAGGAGACCAUCGUCCAGGGAUACCAGCAGGAGAAUGAGAAGUUGUACCUGCAGAUGAAGGCUCUUCAGGCUCAGAGUAAACUCAAUGAAGAGGCCAUGUUCACAGAGAACCAAAGGCUGCUAAACGAACUGGCCCUUACCAAAUGAGCAACUCGCCGAGGACUGUGGGUAAUGUAGGCUGUAUGGCCCAUAUUCAGCGCAUCACACAGCUGCUGGGCCAGAUGCAGGCAGCACAGGUGAGUGUUCAGUCACG